rnacentral:lncRNA from 1 species
UAUAUUAUAGCCCUUGAAAAUUUUUUAUUUGUAGAAACACCAGGAGAAGCAGAAACCAGCCUUGCAAGCAGCACUAAGAUAAUGCAUUACCCAACUUUACUGGAAAAUGUCAGGGGCCAGGAUACUGUCUCAUCUGACGUAAUUCCUCCCAAUUUUGAAACACCAGGAGAAGCAGAAACCAGCCUUGCAAGCAGCACUAAGAUAAUGCAUUACCCAACUUUACUGGAAAAUGUCAGGGGCCAGGAUACUGUCUCAUCUGACGUAAUUCCU